rnacentral:rRNA from 1 species
AUUGAACGCUGGCGGCAGGCCUAACACAUGCAAGUCGAACGAGUGGCGGACGGGUGAAUAAUGUCUGGGAAACUGCCUGAUGGAGGGGGAUAACUACUGGAAACGGUAGCUAAUACCGCAUACCAUCAGAUGUGCCCAGAUGGGAUUAGCUAGUUGGUGGGGUAUCGGCUCACCAAGGCGACGAUCCCUAGCUGGUCUGAGAGGAUGACCAGCCACACUGGAAAUGAGACACGGUCCAGACUCCUACGGGAGGCAGCCGUGGGGAAUGUUGGACAAUGGGCGCAAGCCUGAUGAAGCCAUGCCGCGUGUACGAAGAAGGCCUUCGGGUUGUAAAGUACUUUCAGCGGGGAGGCGUUACCCGCAGAAGAAGCCCCGGCUAACUCCGUGCCAGCAGCCGCGGUAAUAC